rnacentral:rRNA from 1 species
AUUGAACGCUGGCGGCAGGCUUAACACAUGUAAGUCGAGCGAGCGGCGGAAGGGUGAGUAAUGUCUGGGAAACUGCCCGAUGGAGGGGGAUUACUAACGGAAACGGUAGCUAAUACCGCAUACCAUCAGAUGUGCCCAGAUGGGAUUAGCUAGUAGGUGGGGUAAUGGCUCACCUAGGAGACGAACCCUAGCUGGUCUGAGAGGAUGACCAGCCACACUGGAACUGAGACACGGUCCAGACUCCUACGGGAGGCAGCAGUGGGGAAUAUUGCACAAUGGGCGCAAGCCUGAUGCAGCCAUGCCGCGUGUGUGAAGAAGGCCUUAGGGUUGUAAAGCACUUUCAGCGAGGAGGCGUUACUCGCAGAAGAAGCACCGGCUAACUCCGUGCCAGCAGCCGCGGUAAUUC